ensembl:snRNA U6 U6 spliceosomal RNA
GUUCUCUUCAGCAGCACAUAAACUAAUAGAAUCAAUACAGAGAAGAUUAGCAUGGCCCCUGAGCAAGAAUCACAUGCAAAUUCAUGCAGUGUGCCGUAUUGUU